rnacentral:rRNA from 1 species
UACGAAGGGGGCUAGCGUUGCUCGGAAUCACUGGGCGUAAAGCGCACGUAGGCGGAUCUUUAAGUCAGGGGUGAAAUCCUGGAGCUCAACUCCAGAACCGCCUUUGAUACUGGGGAUCUCGAGUCCGGAAGAGGUAAGUGGAACUCCGAGUGUAGAGGUGAAAUUCGUAGAUAUUCGGAAGAACACCAGUGGCGAAGGCGGCUUACUGGUCCGGUACUGACGCUGAGGUGCGAAAGCGUGGGGAGCAAACAGG